AGCAGCCGCGGUAAUUCCAGCUCCAAUAGCGUAUAUUAAAGUUGUUGCAGUUAAAAAGCUCGUAGUUGAAUUUCGGGAUCAAUGCGUCGGUCGUGCCUUCGGUACGUACUAGCGUCAUUGAUUCCUCCCUUCUGAAGAACCGUGAUGUCAUUAAUUUGGUGUUACGGGGAAUCAGGACUGUUACCUUGAAAAAUUAGAGUGUUUAAAGCAGGCUAACGCUUGAAUACAUUAGCAUGGAAUAAUGAAAUAGGACGUUCGAACCUAUUUUGUUGGUUUCUAGGAUCGACGUAAUGAUUAAUAGGGAUAGUUGGGGGCAUUAGUAUUCAAUUGUCAGAGGUGAAAUUCUUGGAUUUAUUGAAGACUAACUACUGCGAAAGCAUUUGCCAAGGAUGUUUUCAUUAAUCAAGAACGAAAGUUAGGGGAUCGAAGACGAUCAGAUACCGUCGUAGUCUUAACCAUAAACUAUAGCCGACUAGGGAUCGGAUGAUGUUAAUUUUUAAUGACUCAUUCGGCGCCUUAC
rnacentral:misc_RNA from 1 species